GUCGUUUAAUCUGCAGGAACUUCAGAGGCAGAGAGAAACCACAAGCACCGCAGAGCUGUCAAGAAAAGCUGGAACUCAUGUCCAACAUUUAACCAUCAGAGCUCUGCAGGGAGACUGAAUGGGGUGAUAGAGGACAGGAAGCUGAGGUGCUGAAUGGUAAGUCAUAGCUCUUUGUUUUCUGCCGACCCAGGUGGUUAACAGACAUACUGUACUUUGAAGGAGAACGAGGCUCUUUCUGCUACGUUUUACUAUUUGUUUAGUCAUCUGGGACGUGUUCUGGUGGAGUGGGGGGAGAGUGAGACUCAACAGAAAGUAGAGUGUCAGAUCUGCAUGAGAGAAAGUUUUUAACCCUAGAACACAAUCGCCGGGUGAUUUUCACCCGACCAAACAUGCUUAUGUGAUUUUCAUGGUGUUAAGUUUGUCUUAGUAUCAUGGGUCCCUGGGUAGCUUCAGCAUUUCCUUUGACAUCUUUGAAGGCAUACUUGUUUUACUGAUCCAAAACCGGCUUUUUCCUACAGGGUGAUAGAGGGUAAAGUAGGUUUGGGUGGAUUUUAUAGCUGCAUGUAGGUGAAUAAGGUCAGUAAGAGCGGUCCUGGAAUUUGCAUGCUAUCUUUAUUUAGCGCAGUGGUUAUGAAUAACUUUCACAAAGUAGUGAUUUUCAAGGGAAUUCAUAUGGUGAUGAGAAAUAUUUUAGUCAGCUGGUCAUUUUUACUCAAAAUCUGCCAUAUUUUGGUUCUCUCUCCUGCAGCUGUUGUUGUGUCAAGGACCCUGAGGAAUGGGUGGAAAAGAAACUAAGUUUACAGUUUCUCUCUCUCUCUCUCUCUCUAUAUAUAUAUAUAUAUAUAUAUAAUUAUAUAGGAAUAUAGGUAGUAUAUAUAUCCUAUAUAUAUAUAAGUAUAUAGGAAUUUUUUGUUCAUGAAUGCAUAAUUUCAGUUAUUUUGUUGUAUUUUUAUAUGGUCCCCUCAUGGCCCUUUUUUCCUCCCUUUGGACACUGCACAGUUACAAAUAAAAGAAAACUACUUUAAUCUGUCAUGUAUUUUCCGAUUUUGAUAUAUUAUGAGGACAGGUACUUUUUCUUGGGUGUAUUAUUACAGGUAAAAAUCACCCAGCGAUAGUGAUGACGUUACUAAUUUUCACGAUAGUGUUCACGGGUUAAUGAAUCCUCUAACAGAAGUAUAAAAGGUUUGGUCUAUUUGUCAUUACUCCCUCCUUAUUUCCUGCGUCUCUUUUCUGCCCUCUGGGCUGUGGAGGGAAAGUCCACAGUGGAACCAGACUCUGGGGUCAGAUUCAGCCUCUCCUCUGCCUCAGGCCGAAAAACACGACCUGUGACACCAGAGCUCCUCUUCUGAACUCAGCUCAUUGUGGUGUUAGCUAAUUAGCUAUCACCUGCUGGGUUUACCAUAAACACUUGAAUCUCCUUAGCGAUAGCCUCAGCUGUCCCGGGAAUCGUUUUGCAAAAUGGUGACUCUUGAAGAUUUUGAGGAACAGUAAACAAGAGUGCAACAUACUAAGGAUAGAGCGUAGGGCUGGGCGAUAUGGGAAAAAGUUUAUCACAAUUUUUUUUUUCAAUUUCAGUUGAUAUCGAUGUAUAUCGCCAUAUAAAAAACACUUUUUCAAACUUAAAUGUUCCCUGUUACUCUUAAAUGAAAUUUAACAGUGCUUAUUGGUAGCAUGUCAUCUGUUGAGUAUGGUGGCCAAAAAUCGUCACUGCUGCAAAUAAAAAGAAACAAACAAACAAAAAAAAAAACGAAGCCACAACGGAAGUUACCAAUGCAAAAAAAGAAACCGAAGCUCGCUGCAAAUAAAAGAAAAAAACUGUGCAGAUUUUAAAAAAGCCACAACAGAAGUUAAUGACACAAAAAAAGUGGCGAUGCAAAUAAAUAAAUAAAUUACUGUGAAAAUAUGAGGGUGCAAAUAAAAAAAGCCACAAUGGAAGUGUGGGCCGGGGACUAAAUAUUAAAAAAGUGAGAGUCUGCGUACUUAUUUGUAUGGGUAAAGAAACCGAACCGUAAAGCGAUAUUAAACGAUAACCUUUCCACUCCUUUGCUCAUCUUCUUGCUGUUGUUUUCUGUGGCUAGAUCCUAAAACAUCGGUGCAUCACCAUUAUUGGUCCCCGGCAGUUCACUUCGGUUGUGGCUUUUGAGUCCUUUAAUUUUCGCAGUUAGUCCCUUUUUUUUUUUUUUUUUUCAUCGCCACUUUUUUUGUGUCAUCAACUUCUGUUGUGGCUUCUUUUUUUUUUUUGGCAUUCUUUUUUUUUUUGCAGCAGUGGCGGUUCUUGGCCACCAUUGUUGAGCCGUCAUCUGCAUUUCUGUCGGGGGUACCACUCAUUUUCUUUUUUUCUUACCAACAGUGCUGUCGGCUUCACGUGUUAAAGUUCUAUGGUUGCAUGUAGCUGCUGUCUGCUAUUACGCAGUUGUUUGUUACUUGGUUCUAAUCCAGCACAUGAUUGGUUCAGCCUGGCAUGGACUCAGAGCAACUCCCCUUUUCAUUGGCUAGUCGUAUAGUCUACCAAAACAUGAAAGAAUGCCAGCUAUAGACCAUGUUUCAUAUCAAUAUCGGGGGAAAUUAUUUUUGAUAUAUAUAUAUAUAUCGUUUUAUCGCCCAGCCCUAAAAGAGCAUAUAACUCAGUGGGUUCAGAAAUCCCCAAAACAGAACAUUUAGUCCGAUUAAGACCACCCAUGCUGCAAAAUAGGGUCCUCAAAGUCAUUUAUAAUAAAUACAGCAGACACUGUCUUCAGCCGUGCCUUCUUACAAAAUAAAAUAAUGUUCCCAUUGUACGAGCGCUGCGGGUUAAACUUAAAUCUGGUUUGUCAGAACUACAAACUGCAUGCCUUAAACCCAUCAAAAAUCCUCUUUUGCGACCACAUGUGUAACCAUGAUAUGCAUGUUUGCAAACACGCAUGCAUCCACAUGCAAAUGCAGCUCUGCGAAUGUAUACCAGAUAAAGAACAAGAGAGGCUAAGAGGAAGAGCGCUACGCACCGCAAACUGACUCCUCUCCCUAAAACUGCAUUUAUAGUGUCAUUGUUUGACAAAUUGUUCCACCUAUAGUAAACACAGCUCUCAGCAGUUAGGCUCCAAAGUGGGCCUUCACACACCACGCAGCAUCUUACACCCAUGUUGAACUCUUUUAAAAUCGGUUUCUGUGAUUGUCUCUCCCUGUAACAUGGUCUCAAUUCUUUUCUUUUUUCCCAGAACACACAUGACAAUAAACACAGACUUACAGUAAAGACUGCAGUCUGAGUUCAUAUCAUUUUACCCUCAUAAUAAUGAGGCGCAUUUCCCGCACCACACACACCAUCUGUGAAUCUCUGAUGAGUGUCUUCUGUGGGAGGAUCCGAUGCUUUAAACUGACAGCAUGGGCAUCAUUAUGUCAUGUAAACAGGCCUGGCAUCAAAGGGCCCAACAUCACGCACCCUUGUGGUUGAGCCAGGAUGAGACUAAGACUGUGACCGAGCUCUUUUUCUGCUCUUGUUCUGUGUUGGCUACACUCAAAUAUUUUCCAUUGUGUCUUAAAGCAAAGCCAGCGAUGUCAGAGCUCAUCCUCCGACUGCUGAUCACUAUUCUUCUUAAGUGGGUUCCAGCAUUUCAGAGCCACACUGACGAGAGUCAUUCAUAUUUAUUCAUUCAUUUAAUUAUCCUGUAUUUCUGCUGUGUCUCUCUCUGUAUCCCUCACGACUUCAAAGACACUCAGACAACAGAGGAGGCAGAUGUGCCGGCACGGCUAUCAUCAUAGUUCAGCUAAAACAAAUGAAUAAGUGGCGUGACUAAAUUUAUUUGAUCAGAGACAAAAGUUUUUUUUUUAUUCUUUCAAAGAGUAAAUAGAUGUCCUUUCUCAUUUGUUUGGAUUUUAUGACAAAAUAAAAGUCUUAUAUUUCUCACCUCCUAUCAGUUUGGACUCUUUACGACAUAUUUGUGUGACGAGCCAGACUUUAGCUCAUUAAUCCUAAUUAGAAACAGAGUUUGGUGACAGAGCAAGUUUUCUCAGGAUAAUGGGGUCAGUUUUCCUGGUGAUUUAUUGACUUGUACCGCGCCUUAGAUUGUUAACAGGGCAGAACUAACAGGCUGGAUGUUGUUGCCGUAUUUCAUCUUUACUGCGUUGUUGUUCACUUAGCUUGAAAUGGCCAAUUUCUCUGUACAAAUCAGGAGGUGAAUUAUUUGAUGUUAAAAUUUGAAGAUUAAACGUCAGCUUUUAAGGCAACAAAGAGUGGAAAGAGGUGUAUUUGACACAAACAGGAGGAAUCACCUGCUGCAGUGUGUGAUAGAUAUUUCUAUGAUAAUAUAAAGGGCUGAUGAUCAUGAAAGAGUGGAUAUCUGAUCCCUUUGUUUCCUGAGCACUAAUUUUUAUUAGAAUUUUGUAGGGCUGCAUAAUGUUGGCCAAAAAUAAAAUCCAGAUUUUUUUCUCUGAAAACUCGAUUUUCAAUUUUUUAUUCAGUGACAACUUCACCAAACUUCACUUUAAAAAUAAUGUUUUUUUGUUUUUUUAAUCAUCUCUCAAAACGAAACCACUGAAAAUGAUGUAGUGCAUAUGCCAAGCCAGUAAGUGGUGCUGUAACACUGCUGAGGAAAUGCACAAAAGACAGAAGAAGAGUACAGAGCAUGUGUUAAACGUUGUUUUGGUCAGACACGUGCAGGCGCCAUAAAAGAGUUAUGCUGUGUGUCACAUGAUCAUUUCCAGAGAUGCAGAUAGACAUCCACACGGAGAUGAAAUGUUAGUCGUUUACGGAUUUAUACACUCUCUGACCCGUUUUCAAAAAGUACCGUAUACAGUCACCUGAAACGCCGUUUCUGAAACGCGGAUACAACAAAAAUCUUUUGCGUUUCCUCCUGAAUUUGUUUCCGUGUGGACAGGUUGAUACUACCUUCAGACAGACUUUGCAGCGGGGAGUGGUUUCCUCUUCAUCUGAAACUGUGAAGUCGUACAAAUUCAACACAAUUGACUCGCUCUUGUCCUAUUUAACCACGAAAUUAUCGAUUUCUUUUGCAAACGCCAUGUUUGUUUACACUGGUGUGUGUGGGAACCGGGGAGCGUUCUCGCAGGAUGGGGGAGCCUACGGUGGCCUGGAGGCGCGAGACAUGAUAGAGAGGAAAAUUGUGAUUGAUUAUAAUUUUUUUUAACAUCGUCAUCAUCAAAUAAUCCGAUUACGAUUUGAAAUUGAUUGAUCGGGCAGCCCUAGAAUUCUGUCUGAGUUUUUGUCAAAUGAUGACACCAAGAAAUGACCACUGAAGGUAUUCUCGCCAUUCUCAUCCACAUACUUGUCUGAGGUCGGCUUUUCACUCAAACUGUCUGGAUGUGAGAAGAUGCUGCGCCCAUCUCUCACACACAACCCCACACUUUGUCUCAAAAAACAGACUCUGGGCUCACGCUGAUGACUGUGUUUGUAUAGUGCGUUUCCAGGUCUGGGCACAGCCACCUGGAAAAAUUGGGGUCAAGUGUCUCGCUGGGAUCAACCCCUGAGUUUUCUGACCUAACACUGAGCUCCAGCCGCCCCUGCAGUGAUAACAGUUUUUUAAAAUCAGCAUCACGACUCCACCAACGUUGCCGGUGGUCACUGUGUCUCUCCAUCUUUUAACCUGGUGCCGUUGUGGUGACUGAAAGCUGGCCUUAGUCAU